rnacentral:rRNA from 1 species
AAAGAGGUGAAGCCGCAGCGAAAGCGAGUCUGAAGAGGGCGGAAGUUGCUGUAAGUAGACCCGAAGCCAGGUGAUCUAGCCAUGUCCAGGGUGAAGUUGGAGUAAGAUCCAAUGGAGGCCCGAACCCAAUGACGUUGAAAAGUCAUGGGAUGAGAUGUGGCUAGGGGUGAAAGGCCAAUCGAACCUGGAGAUAGCUGGUACUCCUCGAAAUAGCUUUAGGGCUAGCCUCAGAUAAAGAUACGGGGCUGUAGAGCACUGAUUGGACUAGGGGCCCAACAAGGUUACCGAAUCCAUUCAAACCCCGAAUACUCCGUAUGAAUAUCUGGGAGUCAGACUAUGUGGGAUAAGCUUCAUAGUCGAGAGGGAAACAGCCCAGACCACCAGUUAAGGUCCCCAAGUAUAGGCUAAGUGGAAAAGGAAGUUAAACCGCACAGACAACCAGGAUGUUGGCUUAGAAGCAGCCACUCAUUUAAAGAGUGCGUAACAGCUCACUGGUCAAGCGGUUUGGCGCCGAAAAUGUAACGGGGCUUAAGCCUAUCACCGAAGCUGUGGACUUGUGAAUCGUUCAUAGAGUCUAUUUGUCCGUGUAGACGAAGAAGAGAAAGUAAAGAAAUGUUUUUAAAAAAAGAUUAAAAGAAAAGACCAUUUAAGAUAAUCAAGUAGAUUGUAUGAACGAUUCAUAAGUGGUAGAGGAGCAUUGUGUGCUGGUAGAAGCUGUACCGUAAGGAGCAGUUGACGGCACAGAAGAGAGAAUGCCGGUAUGAGUAACGAUAAAGGGGGUGAGAAUCCCCCUCGCCGAAAGUCUAAGGUUUCCUGAGGAAGGUUCGUCCGCUCAGGGUUAGCCGGGACCUAAGUCGAGGCCGAAAGGCGUAGAUGAUGGAUAAUGGGUAGAGAUUCCCAUGCCACUGUAUAUUGAUUGAACGAAGUGGGGACACUGUAAAGAGGGCAUGCACGCGACUGGAGGUGCGUGUACAAGGAAUAGAGAAGGUCAGCGAGGCAAAUCCCGUUGGCAUAACUUCUUUAUCUGAUGUGUAGCCAAUUGAGGUGAAGCUGUCUAAUGAGCAGUCAAGAAAAUCCGCUAGUGAGAUAUAUAGUGCCCGUACCGCAAACCGACACAGGUAGACGGGGAGAGAAUCCCAAGGCGCGCGAGAGAACCCCUGUUAAGGAACUCGGCAAAAUGGCCCCGUAACUUAGGGAGAAGGGGUGCCACCGAGAGGUGGUUACAACAAAGUGGUCCAAGCGACUGUUUAUCAAAAACACAGGUCUCUGCUAAGUCGUAAGACGAAGUAUAGGGGCUGACGCCUGCCCGGUGCUGGAAGGUCAAGGGGAGAGCUUAGCGUAAGCGAAGGUUUGAACCUAAGCCCCAGUAAACGGCGGCCGUAACUAUAACGGUCCUAAGGUAGCGAAAUUCCUUGUCGGGUAAGUUCCGACCCGC